AAUAUGCUCAUGAAAUACUUUUGGUGUCAAUCCCUUAGUGAGCGGAUCCGCAAGCAUGGAGUUUGUACUAAUGUACUCAAUGCACAAUUGUCCAUUUGUACUCUUUCUUUAACAAUCCGAAAUUUAACGUUCAUAUGUUUUGCUUUCGUCAAACUACUUUAUUAGCAUAAAGGACUGCCGAUCUGUUAUCGCAUAAUAGCCUAAGUGGCCUUUUGAUGCUA
rnacentral:lncRNA from 1 species